AAAAACCUAAGAGUCAUAAUCACUGUAAAAUUCUCCUGGAGCCCUUCCUCUUCCCUUUCAUCGAACCCUUGUUCCUUCUCAUCGAGCCAUUAUUCUCCAACCUUUCUUCUCUAGCCAUCCCGUUAUAAGCCUUUCUUUUUGUCGAGCAAUUUUCUUCGAGCCUUUCCUCUCCCUGUCUAGAACCAUCAUCUUCAUUCCUCGAACCAUCAUCUUCGUGUCUCGAAUCCUAGGAGUCCCUACCUCCAAUCGUGGCCCUUUGUCCUUGUAUGGUACCCGUGUUCUCUGUCAACGAACCCUCAAUUUCUCAUAGUGGAGCCCCAGGAAUCCUAUUAUCGUACUCUGAGGUUAAUGCUACCUUCUUUUGGUCUCGGUGAGUCUGUGUUUGGUUGUCUAGCCAUCUCUCAGUGUUCGUUGUUGCAGAUUUAGCCAUCUCUCAGUGUUCGUUGUUGUAGAUUUGGUCAGAAGAAGAAGUUUGGUUGUCUAACCUCCACUGUACACCUCUCCCGCGUUGGCUUUCCCCUGAAACGCUACCCUAAAAUUGGAAAAUUGAAAAACCCUAACGUGUUUGAAUGAGGGAUUGAAUGAGAAAUGGCGUCGAAGUUGAAAACGUGUUUUGUAUGGUAGAACCUGAAUGGUUUCAUCUAUGUUAACCACUCUAAGGGAAAUGGUAGGAUAGUGCAAGUUUCAUUUCCAAGUUCUUGCAAAAUGCGACACCGAACCACUUUCAGCAGUUUGCAGAAUAAGAGGCAACGGAUCAAGCCUUCCAUUGAGGAAGGUCUAUGUCAAAAUCAAGAUGAGAAAGAAGAUUCAGAGGUUUCAUUCAAUAACUAAGAAACUCCAAGAACUUGUUAUCUAAACGAAAGAAUUGAAGCUUGAUUGAGGGAAUUUGAAUAGGUUUGCUAAGAAGGGAGCCUUAAUGUAUUUGAAUAUCAAUCACGAGAAACAUAUAUGGCCUAAAAAGAACAGAGUGAACAUGAGGUUAUUUCUGCAUUUCUUGGUUUUUUAUCUUUUGCAACAAGGUAUUCACUUUUAAUUGUAAAUUACAAUUUGAAUAUCUUUUACUGGUUGAUGCAUCUUUUAUUUUUUAUCUAUAGUCCAGAUUACAUGUGAUUCAUAUUACAGCAGAGAUGGCACUAAUACCUAAGGUGCACUCAUCCUAAUCCCUGUGUUUUAUUCUUGUAAGUGGAUUUUAUUACACCUACUGGAAUCUUAAAGAGGCAUGUCAGAACCAUCUGGAUUUUCUUUAAAGAAAGGGAGUACUGGGUCUGAGUUCUAUAUUGAAAUAAAUUCUCAGACCUCCUUAAAAUGUUGGUGGGAUGUUGUCAGUGGUCUAGGUAAAGCACUGCAAAAGAAAGGACACCUUGUUGAAAUUGUGCUUCUCAAAUAUGAUUGUAUGCAAUAUGAUCAUGUCUGCAACUUACGGGCUCCUCUGUACUGGGAGAUAUUUGUACAUAAAGGAUUAAAUUCAGCUAGGAUAUGCUUUACAUGCCACAACUUUGAGUAUCAGGGGACUGCAGUAGCUUCAGAGUUAGACUAAUGCGGUCUUGUUAACAAGAAUCUAAAAAUAUCAGAUAAAAUGCCGAACAACUCAGCACAUGAGUUAAUUAUAAGAUAAGGUCAUAAAAUUAUUACCAAUCUUACUAUAUAUCUGUAGUAAAUAUACCUAAUAGAUUUUACUUUCAUGAUAAGGGGAUUGUUUUCUCAUUGUGACAACAGUUUCACCUCUUUCACGACCUCACCUUAUAAUUUCUUUCAAUUUGAUACGGGUGUUGUAAAUCAAAUGAGUUACUACAAAAUUUCAUUAAAUUUUAAUCGUGCUUAUGAUGAUUAAUUUAAUUUUAUAAUAUUUAUAUAUAAA